rnacentral:sRNA from 1 species
GCAGGCAGCUGGUAGCCCAGUCCAGCGAUCUGCUGGACGGGCAGCUCGGCUUUCGCGAGAAGCUGGCCCUGCGCCGGCACCUGUUGCUGUGCCGCAAUUGCCGGCGCUUCAUCCGCCAGAUGCGCCUGACCCAGGCGACCCUGCGCCUGCUGCCGGAAGCGCCGGUUACCGACGGCGACCCACUCGCCGGUCGCCUGGCUGCCUUGCGCCGCGAUCAACUGCGUCGCUGAGACAGUCCCCUUGUAGGAGCGAGCUUGCUCGC